rnacentral:rRNA from 1 species
GACGAACGCUGGCGGCGUGCUUAACACAUGCAAGUCGAACGGUAAGGCCCUUCGGGGUACACGAGUGGCGAACGGGUGAGUAACACGUGGGUGAUCUGCCCUGCACUUCGGGAUAAGCCUGGGAAACUGGGUCUAAUACCGGAUAGGACCACUGCCUGCAUGGGUGGUGGUGGAAAGCUUUUGCGGUGUGGGAUGGGCCCGCGGCUUAUCAGCUUGUUGGUGGGGUGAUGGCCUACCAAGGCGACGACGGGUAGCCGGCCUGAGAGGGUGACCGGCCGCACUGGGACUGAGAUACGGCCCAGACUCCUACGGGAGGCAGCAGUGGGGAAUAUUGCACAAUGGGCGCAAGCCUGAUGCAGCGACGCCGCGUGAGGGAUGACGGCCUUCGGGUUGUAAACCUCUUUCAGCACCGACGAAGCGCAAGUGACGGUAGGUGCAGAAGAAGGACCGGCCAACUACGUGCCAGCCGCCGCAGUAA